rnacentral:rRNA from 1 species
AUUGAACGCUGGCGGCGUGCUUAACACAUGCAAGUCGAACGUGAAAGUCCUUCGGGGCGAGUAAAGUGGCGCACGGGUGAGUAACGCGUGGAUAAUCUACCCUUAAGAUGGGGAUAACGGCUGGAAACGGUCGCUAAUACCGAAUACGCUCCCGAUUUUAUCGUUGGGGGGAAAGAUGGCCUCUGCUUGCAAGCUAUCGCUUAAGGAUGAGUCCGCGUCCCAUUAGCUAGUUGGCGGGGUAACGGCCCACCAAGGCGACGAUGGGUAGCCGGUCUGAGAGGAUGACCGGCCACACUGGAACUGGAACACGGCCCAGACUCCUACGGGAGGCAGCAGUGGGGAAUAUUGCGCAAUGGGCGAAAGCCUGACGCAGCGACGCCGCGUGAGGGAUGAAGCUUCUCGGAUCGUAAACCUCUGUCAGGGGGGAAGAAACCCCCUCGUGUGAAUAAUGCGAGGGCUUGACGGUACCCCCAAAGGAAGCACCGGCUAACUCCGUGCCAGCAGCCGCGGUAAUACGGAGGGUGCAAGCGUUAAUCGGAAUCACUGGGCGUAAAGCGCACGUAGGCGGCUUGGUAAGUCAGGGGUGAAAUCCCACAGCCCAACUGUGGAACUGCCUUUGAUACUGCCAGGCUUGAGUACCGGAGAGGGUGGCGGAAUUCCAGGUGUAGGAGUGAAAUCCGUAGAUAUCUGGAGGAACACCGGUGGCGAANGCGGCCACCUGGACGGUAACUGACGCUGANGUGCGAAAGCGUGGGUAGCAAACAGGANUAGAUACCCUGNUAGUCCACGCUGUAAACGAUGGGUGCUGGGUGCUGGGAUGUAUGUCUCGGUGCCGUAGCUAACGCGAUAAGCACCCCGCCNGGGGAGUANGGUCGCAAGGCUGAAACUCAANAAUUUGACGGGGCCCGCACAAGCGGGUGGAGUAUAUGGUUUAUUCGAUGCAACGCGAGAAGCUUACCAGGCUUGACAUCUAGGGAACCCUUCGGAAAUGACGGGUGCCUUCGGGAGCCUUAAGACCUGUGCUGCAUGCUGUCGUCAGCUC